UACGUAGGAGGCGAGCGUUGUCCGGAAUCACUGGGCGUAAAGCGCGUGUAGGCGGGAAGGCAAGUCUGCUGUGAAAGCGCCUGGCUUAACCGGGCGAGGUCGGCGGAAACUGCCUACCUGGAGGACGGUAGAGGGGGGUGGAAUUCCCGGUGUAGGUGGUGAAAUGCGUAGAGAUCGGGAGGAACACCUGUGGCGAAGGCGGUCUGCGUGGGGCGAG
rnacentral:rRNA from 1 species